GCUUUGUGAUUGGUAGAUGAGGCUUGUUCUGUUUAUGGCUCUGCUAUUUCUUCUCCACUGCUUGUUCCAAGAAGGAGAAGGCAAAACUGUAAAGAAUCCGAAAGGUUGUACCUGUGGUGGCUGGUGGAGACGAUGUUCAUGUGGUAGAUCUUUGGUUGGUGAGCGCGAAGCAUCAGAUAUCAUGCAGGAUUUUAAGCGGAUGGAGGAAAUGGCUGAUGAUGCCUCAGACGAUUAAGACACAAUCUUGGUUUGAAAAGAAAGUUGUAAAGCUAUAU